AUAUUUUUAUUUUUCCUAAUUUUACAUGUUUCCAAGCAAGGCUUGCCUUGGUUCUUCCCUGCCCUCUAUUUUUCUUCAUGUUCCAUUGUGGAUUCCUUUUUUCAUUUUGUAACUAGUCAUUUUAACUUGAUAUUAAUAGAACCUGCAAUUUUCUCAGUAAUCUUCAGUGAUGGUUUGGAUUUCUUAAAAAAUAAAUCAAAUCUCAUGUGUUCAAUAGAUAUCAUCAAGGUGAUAGGAUGUGUGCCUAACCGGGAAAUGUUGCCCUGCAAAUUCAUUUAGAGAGAUGUUUUCUGAGGUUAUGUGAAUGGAAUCAAGUCAAAGACUUGCAUCCAAAACUAUGAGAAAAUAAAUUCCUUGUUUAAGCCACCCAGUCUGUGGCACUUUGUCAUGGCAGCCCUAGUAAACUAAUAUACCCUGCUCCCACAAGGAGCUGUCUGCAGACACAGACCAUUGAUUAUGGGCUAGAGGCAGAAAUUCUGGUUUGAGACUGGGAUCCCAGGCAAAGCUCCCCAGAGUCAAAUGUGGAGUAGAAUGUUUUAUAAGCUUCUUGCCUUUGCAUGGAUUUUUCCAAUCUCUGACACAAACGUUUCCAUGGUGACUGCAAAUAAGUUAAAGAAUUCUUGGAUCCCUUCUUCCAAGUUCCCUCGAUUACGUAUGCCCAAGGGUUCUCUAAGGAUCCUAAAUGAUGGGGGAGGAGGCAUCCCCAAACAUACCUGUACUUGAAGGUCCCUUCCCCCUUGAGAGAGGCCCUGGGCAAUACGAUAUUCAUUGGACUUCUGUGAGGGCUGAAGAAUGAAGAGUGACGCAUUCCAGGCCUGCAAGACUGACCCUCAAUAAAAAUCCUGGACACCAAGGCUCAGCAGGGUAAGAGCAACCUAACUGAUUGGUGAGUUUAGCUGAAGAAGUGGACAUCUCACUGGGAGUUGGCCUGUCCACGAAACAUGUGCUCUGCCUGGUCAGCUUGAUGUCAUGCAGUGAGAAGCCUGGCCCCACAGAGAAGGCCUCUGGGGACCCAGCCCUGUGGUGAUCAGGUGAGUUUCAUUCUGGGCUACAGUGGCACCAAUCCUGUCGGCCAAAGACCAAAAUGCACAUUCUCCAGGCAGCAUUGUGAGCAAUAACAAUAAUAUUAAUUCUUCCAUCCAGUUGGUUCUGGAAUACUUCUCAAACUGUUUUGAAUUUGGAUGAUGGGGAAAAGGGAAGCUCUUUAUUAACCCCAUAAAACCACACACACACAAAAAAAAAGAGAGAAAAAAGCCAAGUGAGCUCCCAGAGACCAUCUCAAGGGGAAAUGAGACUCUGAGCUAGAAAAUGACAGAGAAUAUGGGGCAUGUUGGAACCUUGGUCCUAACCUCAAAAUUGGCAGCUGGUUCUCCUCCAUAUAAAAUAGAAAAAUAGAAAAUGUGGAAAACAGGUCAAGAGAGCCAGCCCGGGACAAAGAUCGGCACCCAGGUGUCGACUGACCUACAGACCUCCAUGAGCCACUGACCUUCAUGAGCCACGCAGCUCAGACAACAUUCAGUAGGGGGAGGAGGGGCAGGACUCCUAGGAGAGCCUGUGAACCACAAACAGUGAACCUCAGAAAAGCACUGGGGAUGAGGGAUGAA